CCGAGGCUUUAUUUGAAAGCGCCGGCGCGCUGCGAUUGGCCGCCGUCCACGGCCGGGGGGGCGCCGGGGGCCGCCGGCGGCAGGGCGCGGAGCCCGCGGCCGCCUUCCGCGCCCCCCCGGGGCCUCGGGCGGCUGCUUUCGUCGCAGGAGCCAUCAUCAUGGGAGGCGUUAGGGGCAGGGGGCGGGCGGAGCGGGGAGCGCGGCCGGCCAAACGGAAAAAAGCAGAAAAAAAAGCACGCAGCGAGGGAGCGGGGGAAAAAAAAAGGGGGGCAGAAAAGCGGCGGCGGGGAGCGCCUCCCCCGCGGACGGGGCGAUGCGCCCGCGCGGACCUGCCGAGGCGGCGCUCCCCGCCGCCGCACGUCGGGGGACUUCCCGCGCCCGCUGCGCGCCGCGCUGCCCCCGGCGCCGCUCCGCGGGCGCGGCCAUGGGCCGGCGCAUAACCUGCACCGUGCGGUACCGGCGCCCCGGCAGCCGCCGCCGCGCGCGGGCGCUGGGCUGGGCCCUGCUGCGAGGGCUGCGCCGGGCGCUGCCGCGGCCGCGGCCGCCCCGCCUGGCGCUGGUGCUGGUGCUGCGGAGGACGCGCGGCCCCGGAGCGGGACCCGCCGGCGGCAGUUUGGGGGAAAAGAAAAAGGAAAGAAAGAAAAUGAAAAAGAGGCGUGGACGGUUUGGGCUGGCCUCUGAAACAAAGCUCAUUCCUGCAGAUGUCCUCUGCUCACGGCCGUUAAGCACAGAGCCAGACCAGAGAGGGAUUUAGGAGUCAAAUCAAAUUACUAAUAACACCACAAGGUGGAGAAUUUGUGCCAGAGACAACGCCGAUCAAGCUCAAGGACAGAGCUGCUUCCACAGAUCUCCUCACACUCACUGUAAAGGGAAAGCAGCUCCUACAACUCCCUGUCUCCUACAGAGGCUUACUAGUUGAUCUUCAUGAUGAAAUGAAAGAAUGAUUUUAAAUGAUUGGUUGUGGUAUGAAAACAAACAAAAUAUAUUUCAGAACCUUCCUACGGAGUAGAUAAAAGUUCUUACAAAAGCGGCUUGCUAUAAAGCCCUAAAUCACCUUUUAACAGAUCAAUGAAAUGCAGGUUUUAAGGUCAAAAUAAAAGAUUUCCCUAGAUCAAAUACCUUCCACCUUUGCUAGAGGAACGGUGCUGUAGAAAAGCAAACAAUGGGGUGGGCUUCAUGUGUUCUGUAAGAUAUAAUUCACUUACUACAGGCAUGAUCCUUGGUCCUCUAUGUCACUAAGCCUAGAGAUGGAAGGUUGUGACCAAACUUCUUGUUUUCCCCCUUUUUGAGGUAUAAGUAGAAACCUCUUUUUUUUAGCUCAUUUUGUUCCUUUGGGCAACACUUUAUACACCACAGAUGUCAAGAUAUCCUACAGAUUUCCACUGUCAAUUUCUUUUCUGAGGCUGCAUAAGAGUGUACCAAAUAUUAUGAUUUCUGAAUGUACUUGAUUUGCAUACUGCUUCUUUUGUGGUUAUUUUCAGUAAUCAUUCAUGCAAUUCUGUUUGCUGGCAGCAAUAUGCACUGUUCAGCAAAUGUCAAGUAAGCAUUGCUAAAUCAUUUGCACAGGAAACCUGAUUCUGUGAGGAAUAUUAAUCUAAGACAGGACAUUUGGAAGUACUGAGAGACCUAUGCAUCCAACGAGAAGAGACUGGAACUACACCGGUCCAACAAACUGGGUCACAAAAAUUAUUUGCAGAAGCUAUCUUCUCAUUUAAUGUCAGUCAACAAUAUCUUCCAUAAAAUCUCAGUCUGUGUACCUAUGGACAAAAUAGAUGAUGUUAAUCAAAAAAGUAGUGUCUUCUGAAUUUCUGAGAUUUAUUCCAAGUAAAUUUAAAAGAUUCUAGGUUUUCUAGUAUUAUCACUGAGACUGUAAAGUAUUUAUCUUACACUGCCCUUCUACUCACAGAAUCAUUCAUACCUGCCUAAAGUUUGUGAAAGUCAGAUAUGUAUUCAGUGAUAGUCAGAAGAGCAAUAAUGUCAUUCCUUCUAUUUUGCCUUCAUGGAAAUGAGACCACAAAAACAAAAAACAAUAGACAAUAGAAACUCAGGUGUGCAAUUUCUUACUUACAUGCUAUAUUUUCACCUUCUUUCAGUGAAAGCAUGAACUUCAUGUUAUUCUAUCUCACAUGGACUAAUACAGAUUGAGUUCCAGAAUGGCCAGCUCUAUGUUAGGAAUUAGCAGUUGAACAAUGACCUUAUUGUUCACUUACAAGAAUUAGCAGGAAACAGAUAAUCCAAAGUUUGACUUUUUUCAGUUUUUUAGUUUGAGAAUCCCUUAAACAUUUUCCCAUAGAAAUAGGGUGACUUCUACAAUGAAUUCAAGACCACUGAAAAAUUAUUUGCUUUCUUUAGAGUGCAAUUCUAGGGACAGCUGGCAGACUUAAUGUUUCACUGCUGAGAAGGGAAAGGUCCUUUCCUCCUGCAGCUUUGGCCAUGCAGCCCACUGUGCCAGUUUCACAUUGCACCCUUUUAUGACCUGCUUUAACUUGUUAGUGUGGUGGAACCUGUCCCACCUCUGGAAUGGUUACUAGGUACUGUGUGGUCCUGGAAAAUGACCUAGGUUGUAACAGUGAAUUAAUAUAAUACUCAACCACCUUGGUGGAGUAAGAAGGUAUUACCUUCUUUCUCCAAAAGGUGGUCUUUACAGGCAGAAGAACGUGAAAUUAACGCUUUAAUGUAAUGAAAUUACUAGAAGAACUAUGGUUCUGUAAUAGUUCUGCACUCUUUUAUCUUAAUGCAAAAGCAUUAAUGAAUCCAGGCUUGCUUAAAGUUCAGCUAAGAACUGCCUUGCUUACUCUGCAGUUCAGAAUAGCCCUUGACCUCUCAUGGCAGAUUUCACAUGAUUGAGUCAGCCUUCUGAAUCCACACAGCUGGGCUGCGUGACGGAGAAUGGAAAACCUAUUUCCAAGUAUGCCUAAUCAUGUGUGGUUUCAUAACACAAGUAAUCCAAGUCAAUUUAGACUAAAGAUGCUGAAGAAUUUCAUAAUUAUCUAAAUGAAAAAUUCCAUACUUUCACAAAUUAAUUAUUAAAUGUUAAUUUCAGUUCUCUUGCACUGUCCUGCUUCAGUCGGUUCUGCAAUGACAGUGGGUUGAGGAAGCAAUCGUUAAAACGGUUAAGCCAGAGUUUCCGUCUUAGAGGGCUGAUCCUGCCAAGUGCUGAGGCACCUCCUGAAUGAAUUUCUCCCCUUACUGACAAGCACUCAGCUGUUUUCGAUAAACAGAUUACUCUCUCGCACCAGUUAGAAUUCUGAGAACCCCAACUGCUUUCAGAUCUGUUUUGAAUAGGAAUAUAAAUACUACAGAUGGUUCUUCCGAUGUCACAUGCCACCUGUACUCAUGCUGAGACAUGCUUCAGUGCUGUUAGUAUGAGUGUUAGAUAGUGGUAGGUGUUAAGUGAAAAUGAGGUAUGAGUUGGCAAACUUGUGUUAGCAGGGCAGAUCUGUUCUAAGCAGCAUGGGAAAAUGAUUUAGAGAAGGAGACAGAAAAGGGCAGAUCUAAUGGCCUGCCUCAUGGUCUAGCUUGUACUGUAUCUGGACUUACAAUAUUGGCAUCAGUACCUCACACUGUAAGCACACACUGGAGGGAUGCUCAGUGAAAACUAAAUGAGCAGAUAAGUCCUCCAAAGAAAAUAGCUUUAAAUGCCAAGGAUAGCUGGGGUAAGCAGCAUCUAAACGAUCGAUGAGAAACAGCACAACAGCAUCUCUGUAUUUAGAGAGAACAAAUAUUCGAGAUACAAGUAAGUGUGGGGUGUUGGCUUGGAACCUAGACAAGGAAUAUUUGGGACCAAAUGCUAUUGAGUCCAGAUCUAGCAGCCUCUUCAGAUAAAGUGGAAGGAGAUCUGUUCCCUGCAACACAUGUGGCAGGACUAAGCAGAACUCGGAAAGACUGCCAUUAGAAGACAAUCCAAUGAGAUCUCCUGUGAGUGGGUGUACUUCUUCCUCUUGUAUUUUUUAUUUGCAUAUUGAAUUACUCUUCAGUGACAGUUCUGCCUCUGGUCUAUCUGCACAGUUUAUUUAGUUGCAGUCUACAGUAUUCCCUUUGGUGCCCAAUGGAAAAUUUUACAAGGAGUCAGCUGGAUCCCAGUUUUAUAUUUCCCAGUCCUUAGCUAAUACUGCCUUAUCUUUUGCGUUAUGGAACUGUGCUCCAUACAACCACUCACUUCCCACCAGUCUCCCCUCCAUGUAUAUAGGGAAAAGAAUAAGAUUUUCAGUAUUGAUUUCUAAUAUACACACUGCUUCCCAGCUGCAUUCCUCUCUUCCCCCAGCUCAAUUUUGCACGUAAGCAUGACGAAGCAGAACUGUUCCUUAGCAGCUCCUGCUUGCUCUAGGAGUGAUCUCCUUUCCACCAAAGCCUUGAAAGUACUCAGGCCACACAGAUCAGUGAGUUAGCUUAGGACUAUUCCACUGGAGAAUGACAAGCAGGGUUGAAAAACACAAGGUUAACCUUCAUUUGAUAACACUUCGCUAGGCUUUUCACAGGUCUGAACCAUCUCCCAUGAGACAUGCAAUUCACUCACAAAGCAACUGCUUCAGUUCUCACAAUUUUUGAUAGCUGUGUUGAAGUCUUUAUUGUUUAGAUGAGGCUUUAAAAUGUAAUGCUUAGGGAAAUAAACAAAUGGAAAUCCAUCAGGUCCUGAAAGGUCUUGCUGAAACCUUUUUAUUUUUCAAAAUGGUAGUAUCUGGCAUAAGAGACGAGGGUGUAAAACUACAGCUGUUUAGUGUAUAAUGGUUUAAUACAGGGAAGGCAUGAAGUUUCUGUAAGAGGAGCAAGACAACAAUCAACCUUAACAGGCAUUAAUUAUGGAGUCCAUGUUUGAAAACUAAGCAACAGCAAAAAUUUAGCACUCUAUGUCCUGCUAAGCCAUUUAACAGGCCAAUAUACCUCUAGUUGGCAUUUGGUAACACUCUUGAUUUUGGGGUUAUGAUAUAGGAGCAGUAUUAAUACUAUCCACCAGAAGACAGUAUGCCAAAUCUAUCAUGGUAGAUGGACUGAAUAAUGGUUGUAGAAGACAGAAAGAGCAUGGCAAGACAGUCAAAAUGGAAGAGAAGUCAUUUCCACAAGUGAAGUCUUCUGUGUGUCAUUAUCUCACUUUUGUCAAAUCAGAGGCAUUCUGACUCUACCAACUGCCUCAACUCUCCUCUGUUUAUUUGAUUUUAGUGGUACCUUAAAUUUGUAUCUUCUUGUUCCCUAUCAUACAUGCUGUAUUUCCUACAAUAAAUGUAAUGCUUAGGACUGCUUAGAAAGAUGAUCAGAACUAAUUAUAUGGCCUAUCUCCAUGUAAUUAAAGACAAUGAAUCUAUGUUUUUCUUGUCAACUACCAUCUCCACCCUAUAGUCUCUCCUGGAUAAAUAGGUGCCCACACAUUUCAAGGAGUAUAAAAUGUAUGCUGAACUUUCUUAAAACAUACCACAUACUAGCACUGUUACUGACCUCUCCAUUUUAACUCCACACGGGACCUCCAUUAGAUGAGACACCUCAGUACAUGAGAUACCAAGCCUAUGUGUUCAGAGCAAAUGGGUACCAUCUACCCUGAACAGGAAGGUGAGGAAUUUAGAACAGGAAGGUAACUGUAACUAUGGACUUGCUCUGUGCUGUACUUCCCUGUGCCACCGGAAGCACGCAGUGCAUGUGUGUACAUACAUAUGUAUAUAAAAACACACACACAGACAUGCUGAUUUGUUAAUUAUCUUAUGUCACUAAAAAAUGUAAAAAGUCAAUACGGAUUGAAAAUGGAAGCCUAGAAACAGCUUCUUCUGAGCAUAUUUGACUAUGAACUAUGACUAGCUUCACUCUAUUUCCGUAAAAUGGUGUAGGAAACAAAGGUAAUACACCAACAAAGAGCACUUUUAAGGCCAGCCAUCUGGUUUGGCUAGAUAUUAAAGACAGUAAAAGGCAUGUAAAACCUUCAAACCCUCCCUCUCAGGCUUCGAGGUCUGGCCCCUACAAUCCAAAUUUGUUAAAAAAAGACCAGGAAAUACGGAAAACUGGCUAAACUAUUUUACCAACUGUCUCAAAGGCGAGGGGUCCAAGCACAGAGCCUUUCACAGUGAAAGACUGGGUCUCUAACAGGGAAGGCUAGCAAGGUUGAGCUACCUGCUUUUUUGUUUCUUUCACAGUUCAUUUCUUUUUCUUUUUUAUAUUUCUGUGAGAAUCUGUACCUGUCACAUUUGUUCUUUUUCUUGCCAGGCUUGGCUGCAUUCUGAUCCCUUUCUAUUUCAGCAGUCCCUGUUGUUUCAGGGAACUAUGAAAGAUGACCUUAAGUUCUAAGUGGCACCAUAUUUUGAAGCCUUCAGCCUUUCUAGAACUAUGUUUAUAAACUACCAUACCAACUUAUUC